AGGGCAUUUGGUGAAUGCCUUGGCACUCAGAGGCGAAGAAGGACGUAAUACACUGCGAAAAGUCACGGGGAGUUGUGAAUAAGCAUUGAUCCGUGAAUGUCCGAAUGGGGAAACCCACAGAGCAAUCUGUAUCGUAACAUGAAUACAUAGUGUUGCGAAGCGAACGCAGGGAACUGAAACAUCUAAGUACCUGUAGGAAAGGAAAUCAACCGAGACUCCGAAAGUAGUGGCGAGCGAAAUCGGACCAGCCGAUGGAUUUGAUUGUAAGAACUAGAACAGCGUGGGAAAGCUGACCGAAGAUGGUGAUAGUCCAGUAUAGGUAGAAAGCAAUUAAGUUCUUGAGUAGGGCGGAGCACGAGAAAUUCUGUCUGAAAAUGGGGAGACCACUCUCCAAGGCUAAGUACUACUGAGUGACCGAUAGUGAACAAGUACCGUGAGGGAAAGGUGAAAAGCACCCCUAUAAGGGGAGUGAAAAAGAACCUGAAACCGGAUGCCUACAAGCAGUCGGAGGAGCAUUAGGCUCUGACGGCGUACCUUUUGUAUAAUGGGUCAGCGACUUAAUUUAUGUAGCAAGCUUAAGCCGAUAGGUGUAGGCGCAGCGAAAGCGAGUGUUAAUAGCGCGUUAAGUUACAUGGAUUAGACCCGAAACCGAGUGAUCUAGCCAUGAUCAGGUUGAAGGUUGGGUAACACCAACUGGAGGACCGAACCCACUCCCGUUGAAAAGGUAGGGGAUGAAUUGUGGCUAGGGGUGAAAGGCCAAUCAAACUCGGAAAUAGCUGGUUCUCCGCGAAAACUAUUUAGGUAGUGCGGCAAGCGGACACGUUGAGGGGUAGAGCACUGAAAGAGCUAAGGGGGAGCGAUCCUUACUAAACUUUAUCAAACUCCGAAUACUCAACAGUGAUACUUGCCAGACAGACUGUAGGUGCUAAGGUCUACGGUCGAGAGGGAAAGAGCCCAGACCGCCAAUUAAGGUCCCAAAAUUAUGGCUAAGUGGUAAAGGAAGUGAAUUGUCCAAAACAGUCAGGAGGUUGGCUUAGAAGCAGCCAUCCUUUAAAGAAAGCGUAAUAGCUCACUGAUCUAAACAAGACGAUUUGCGCCGAAGAUGUAACGGGGCUAAAGCCAUAUACCGAAGUUGCGGAAUUGCACGUAAGUGUAAUUGGUAGCGGAGCGUUCUGUAAGCCUGCGAAGGUGUUCCGUAAGGAAUGCUGGAGGUAUCAGAAGUGAGAAUGCUGACAUGAGUAGCGAAAAGAAGUGUGAGAGACACUUCCGCUGAAAGUCCAAGGUUUCCUGCGUAAAGCUAAUCUGCGCAGGGUUAGUCGGCCCCUAAGGCGAGGCAGAGAUGCGUAGUCGAUGGGAAUCAGGUUAAUAUUCCUGAACCAACUAGGAAGUGACGGAUUCAGUAAAUUGUAUGUCCUUAUUGGAUUGGAUGUGCAGUGAAUGAGUCCCGGGAAAUAGCCCUAGUAUAGACCGUACCCGAAACCGACACAGGUAGGUAGAGAAUACCAAAGCGCUUGAGAGAACUAUGUUGAAGGAACUAGGCAAAAUACUUGCGUAACUUCGGGAUAAGCAAGCCCCAUUUCUGGGCAACCAGAGGUGGGGGGCACAUACUAGGGGGUAGCGACUGUUUACUAAAAACACAGGGCUCUGCUAAAUUGAAAGAUGAAGUAUAGGGUCUGACGCCUGCCCGGUGCUGGAAGGUUAAGGAGAGAUGUGCAAGCAUUGAACUGAAGCCCCAGUAAACGGCGGCCGUAACUAUAACGGUCCUAAGGUAGCGAAAUUCCUUGUCGGGUAAGUUCCGACCUGCACGAAUGGCGUAACGACUUCCCCGCUGUCUCCAACAUAGACUCAGCGAAAUUGAAUUCUGAGUUAAGAUGCUCAGUACCCGCGGUUAGACGGGAAGACCCCGUGAACCUUUACUAUAGCUUUGCAGUGGUAUUAGGUGACAAAUGUGUAGGAUAGGUGGGAUGCUAUGAAGUUAUGACGCUAGUUGUAAUGGAGCAGACGUUGAAAUACCACCCUUUUGUUAUUUGAUAUCUAACCUGCUUCCGUUAUCCGGAAGAGGGACCCUGCAUGGUGGGUAGUUUGACUGGGGCGGUCGCCUCCCAAAGAGUAACGGAGGCGCGCAAAGGUUGGCUCAGAUUGGUCGGAAAUCAAUCGUUGAGUGCAAUGGCAUAAGCCAGCCUGACUGCGAGAGCGACAGUUCGAGCAGAGACGAAAGUCGGUCAUAGUGAUCCGGUGGUCCCGAGUGGAAGGGCCAUCGCUCAACGGAUAAAAGGUACUCCGGGGAUAACAGGCUGAUUCCGCCCAAGAGUUCACAUCGACGGCGGAGUUUGGCACCUCGAUGUCGGCUCAUCACAUCCUGGGGCUGGAGAAGGUCCCAAGGGUUCGGCUGUUC
rnacentral:rRNA from 1 species